UCUUUCUUUUGUCCUCUCUCUAUUCUAUUUUUUCAAUCACUACUCAAUUAUGAAGAUGAUUUAGAGUCAUCAAUAGUGGACUAUUAGACUCUACUAUUCAGUAAUGACGAUACCAAUAUAGGUGGUUGAUGUUGAAUUGUUAUUAAAUCACUAAUGUUGAAACUUGGAACGUGUUAAAUCGGGUUCUUAUGAAGUUAUGAUGCUGACCCAUUACCUGUCUCUUGUUCUUCG